CAGACGUUGAGCGAUUCUAGUCGUACAGCAGGUUACCAGACAAAGAGUGUUUGUAACUCAAAUUACCGGGGAGUGUCCACAAUUAGGAACACCUACCCUACCAGACACUAAUAUUUAGUGUUUCCAUAUAGUCGAGGCUUCCUAACGAUAUAUAAGCAGCUGAGAUCGAGCAGAACUUUACUGGAUCAUCUUGAGUAGUGUUUGAGACUAAGCUUGUUCUCGAGAUGUUUCGUCGAGUGUUUGCGCUCGUGGCUUUGAUGUCAGUCAGUCAGAUAUCCGACUGCGUUCUCAUCGGUGGCAGGCACACGCAGAUCGACUACAACGACUGCGGUCUCUGGAAUAACCGCUCCACACGACGAGGUUUCACGAUGGAAGACUGCUGUCCCGUCGAGACGACCUUUCCCGGCAGUCCUUGGCAGUUGCUCGUCGUCUCCUACUACGCACACGGC